GACGAACGCUGGCGGCGCGCUUAACACAUGCAAGUCGAACGGAAAGGCCUGCUUUCCCUUGUGGAUUGCGGGUACUCGAGUGGCGAACGGGUGAGUAACACGUGAGUGAUCUGCCCCCAACUUGGGUAUAAGCCUGGGAAACUGGGUCUAAUUCCCGAUAGGACUGCAGGGUGGUGCCUGUGGUGGAAAACGAUUUUCUAGUGGUUGGGGAUGAGCUCGCGGCCUAUCAGCUUGUUGGUGGGGUAAUGGCCUACCAAGGCGGCGACGGGUAGCCGGCCUGAGAGGGUGGACGGCCACAUUGGGACUGAGAUACGGCUCAGACUCCUACGGGAGGCAGCAGUGGGGAAUAUUGCACAAUGGGCGGAAGCCUGAUGCAGCGACGCCGCGUGGGGGAUGACGGCCUUCGGGUUGUAAACUCCUUUCGACCGCGAGGAAGCCACCUGGUUGGAAGGGUGGUGACGGUAGUGGUAGAAGAAGCACCGGCUAACUACGUG
rnacentral:rRNA from 1 species